GCGGGUGUAGUUCAGCCUGGUUUAGAUCGCCACGCUCAUAACGUGGAUGUCGAGGGUUCAAAUGAGAUUUUUGCA
rnacentral:tRNA from 1 species